rnacentral:lncRNA from 1 species
CGGCCAGGCGGAUCCACCCAAGCGGACGAGGUCUCCUCAACGCGGCCGAAAUGACCGAGAUAACAGAGGCGACCGACAACCCGCGAGGGCCGACCCCCUUCGAAGAGACGAUCCCCCCAGGGAGGCCGAUAGGAGAGGUAACCGAGAAGUUAUCAACACUAUAGCCGGCGGCUUCGCCGGGGGAGGAAGCACAAACAACGCU